rnacentral:rRNA from 1 species
UACGGGGGGGGCAAGCGUUGUUCGGAAUUACUGGGCGUAAAGGGCUCGUAGGCGGCCAACUAAGUCAGACGUGAAAUCCCUCGGCUUAACCGGGGAACUGCGUCUGAUACUGGAUGGCUUGAGUUUGGGAGAGGGAUGCGGAAUUCCAGGUGUAGCGGUGAAAUGCGUAGAUAUCGAGAGGAACGCCAGUGGCGAAGGCGAGUCUCUGGACGACUCCUGACACUGAGGCACGAAAGCUAGGGGAGCAAACCAGG